CUCCAGUCAAGUGAGUGUCUAUUUGAUGGCACAUAAUCUACACUUCACGUGACUGCAUUUCUUGAGUGUAGUCAACUCUGUGACUUCACCUCAACACCCAACUCUCUCUACUUCUAUGCACACUCCCAUGUGGAUUCUGUAUUUCUAAUGGGAGUGUGGAGGCAACAUUUUUUUUGACUUCAUGAUUUCUUUUCCUGUCUCCCUUUCUCCUCGCUGUCUCUCCUUCUUGGCAGCGGGGCAAAAGUGGGCAGGCAGAGAGGAGGGCAUGGCCCAGAAACUGCUCUCAAGCCCCAGCCCCUGUUCGAGUGGGGUUCCUUGCUGGUAUACUACUCAGCCUUUCCCUCGUCUUGCAGGCGAAAGAAAGGGAUGUGGAUGCAUUCUUGUCUCCUUUCUAACCCGCCGUUUUUUUUGUUUCCACCAUGGCCUUCUUUUACGGGCCUGACCUGAACUAGAAAAGUAACCUCCAGGAGACAGGCUGAGCUGCUGUGAUGCACACGAGGAGCUCCAUGGAUGAAGGAACCCAAGGGCCAAGUACUCAACUCUGCUUUGUCUGCAAUCUAUUCAGGGGAGACUUUAUUUCAAAGGUGCAGUUUGGGAACAUGUUCUGAAUUAAGCACGUAUUGAGUGAGAACUCGUGUUUAAAGAUGCUGUGCUUGAAGUUGAGCCUAGCAAGGUGAGGUAGUAGGUUGUAUAGUUUGUGGGAUGGAGUCAAUCCUACUCAGGCGUUAACUAUACAGUCAAUUACCUUCCUUGAGAGGUACAAUGAGUGCUUGGGCGGAAGCUACUGCUCUUAUGGAGAAGGAGCCACUCUGAUGCCAUCUUGUGGCUAAAGACUAUCAUCACCCUGGAAAUGAUCUAUUGUGUGUGUACGAGGAGAUGUUUUCUGAAAACAACCUGAAGAUGAACUCCUUUUGGUCUAAGAGUAAUUCAGACUAGAAGUAGAUCCUGAGAGAUGUUAGAAGACCAGAAAACACAAACACCGGCUCACGGUCUGUAAUCUUUUGUGAAAACAGAACAAUAAAGAACAUAUUUAAUGGCCGUUUCAAUUUUCUCAACAAUAAAUCAAAAACAAUCCAAUAACUAUGGAGUCGACUGAUAGAAUAAAGUCUACAUGGUUGAUGUUUGCAGUCUCGCAAUCAUUUGUCAAAUCCAACACAUUCAAUAAUCUGCAACAACUGCACUAAUCCCAAAUACGAAGGUAGUUGUAUAACUGCUGAAUUAAAUCACCGACAUAAGGUGAAGUACAACUGAAUUUGUUAGUUUUUUUGCAAUAAAAAUAUCACACGCCGACAGUAUUUGGUGCCUCAAACAAAAGCCAAUGUUUUCAUUUGUUUCACAUAUGAAUUAAGAUGCAGUUUAUAAAAUAUCAAUUUGAAAUCA